UGGGGAAUAUUGGACAAUGGGCGAAAGCCUGAUCCAGCCAUGCUGCGUGUGUGAAGAAGGUCUCCGGUUUGUAAAGCACUUUAAGUUGGGAGGAAGGGCAGUAAGCGAAUACCUUGCUGUUUUGACGUGACCGACAGAAUAAGCACCGGCUAACUCUGUGCCAGCAGCGGCGGUAAUACAGAGGGUGCAAGCGUUAAUCGGAAUUACUGGGCGUAAAGCGCGCGUAGGUGGUUCGUUAAGUUGAAUGUGAAAGCCCCGGGCUCAAACUUGGAACUGCAUCCAAAACUGACGAGCUAGAGUAGGGCAGAGGGUGGUGGAAUUUCCUGUGUAGCGGUGAAAUGCGUAGAUAUAGGAAGGAACACCAGUAGCGAAAGCGACCACCUGGGCUCAUACUGACACUGAGGUGCGAAAGCGUGGGGAGCAAACAGG
rnacentral:rRNA from 1 species